AGACAGCAAGCCAACAUUGAAUAAACAUUGUUUUUCCAUCUGAAUCAUCAUUAUGGUUGAUAUUGAAAUUUCAAUGCAAAAUAAAUGUUGAAUCAACAUUAUCAUAUCGAUGAAAACCUGAUGUUAUUAAUGUUGAUGGCAACAAUAUUGGAACAACAUUGAUCCAUAGUUAUCUUUAUGAUUGAUUAAGCAUUGAUAUUUGGUUACCGGGUGAUCCCUGAAUGUGUUGAAAAGUAAUUGAUUUAUAGUGGACAGAGAAAUGAUGCUGUUGUUGAAAAGUCAUCGAAAUAUAGUUGACCGGGAAAUAUGAUAGAAAAUGCAUCGAAAUAUAGUUGACCAGGAAAUAUGAUUGAAAAUGCAUCGAAAUAUAGUUGACCGGGAAAUAUGAUUGAAAAUCCAUCGAUUUUUGGUUGACCGGGAGAUCAACGGGUGGUAUACCCAACGUACUGCACCGGACACAGCUCAUUUCUGGACCCUUGGCACAAGCGUACAGGUAAGCUUGCUUAAUGUUCGAUAUGAACCCAGACAGCACAGGCACGCGGUGUGUUUUUAUACAGUCUGUGGGCAGCUGAAGAGACUGGCUCAUUUUCAAAUAAUGUUACCGUUAACUUGUUUAGACAACGGUCACGGUAAAUUAAUGUUAAAGCCUUGAGUUUCCAGCAGUUUCUCGGAGGGAAAAUGUAAAAGCGGUUUAUUAAAGAGAAGUCCUGACUGCUUUUUCGUCGUGUUUUUCACUCUUUUACAGGCUGCCAGAAAGAAUCCGUCUCUAUAGUGAGUGAUUAUUGAAUGAGGCUGUACAUUAUAAAUGUAAUGCUUUAACUCGAGAUGUUUGUUUGUGUGAAUGCUGUGUGUGCGGUGAGUUCUGCGCGAGCGGGGAGCAGAGUUGCCAUGGAAACGGGGCGUCAAUACAAAAACCGUUACUGGCAAGCAGUAAUCUCCGUCUCUUGCUGCGGUUUACGCUGUUUUAGGAGGACAGAAAUAAACUAUACAGAACAAAGUGAAACUCCAAGAUUUUUGAAAAGAAAAUUGGUGAAAUAUAUUCUGAAAAAGGCAUAUUAAUGUAUUUCAUGAGCUUCUUCAGUAAAUCUGUAUUUCUAAGUCAGUAUCUCCCUUCAGAAAUGUUGCUGAAGGGAGAUACUGACUUAGAAAUACAGGUGAACUCAUGAAAAUAAGCUCAUGAAAUACUCAUGAAAGAAGCUCAUGAAAUACAUUAAUAUGCCUUUUUCAGAAUAUAUUUCACCAAUUUUAAGGAGUCCCUGACAUCAAAACAUUGCUUGUUUUGUUCCUGGACUCUUCAGUGAUGAUGAGCAGAGUCUAAGUGAACCUGCUGUCAGACAAUCACUAUUGCACACCAAAUGCUCUUACUCAGCAGAUGGGGACAGCUACCAUCACCCAAUUUUCACCCAAAAGUGGCUGCGCUAUUCGCCAGACCGGGCAGGAGGGACUGGACGACAACUUAUGCAGGCAUCAGAUGACAAUGAAGUGUAAAUAAAGAGUAGAGGCUAAUAAACAGGAAUUUGAUUUUAAAUAGUGUGGUGUGUUCUGUGUUUUAUACAAGAUUUUAAAUGUUCUAUUAAUUUUUAACAUCCUGGCUGUAGAUAAAGCAGGCUAUUUAAUUUAUGGCAUU